rnacentral:rRNA from 1 species
AUUGAACGCUGGCGGUAGGCCUAACACAUGCAAGUCGAGCGAGUGGCGGACGGGUGAGUAAUGUCUGGGAAACUGCCUGAUGGAGGGGGAUAACUACUGGACACGGUAGCUAAUACCGCAUACCAUCAGAUGUGCCCAGAUGGGAUUAGCUAGUUGGGGGGGUAACGGCUCACCUGGGCGACGAUCCCUAGCUGGGCUGAGAGGAUGACCCGCCACACUGGAACUGAGACACGGUCCAGACGCCUACGGGAGGCAGCAGUGGGGAAUAGUGCACAAUGGGCGCAAGCCUGAUGCAGCCAUGCCGCGGGUAUGAAGAAGGCCUUCGGGUUGUAAAGUACUUUCAGCGGGGAGGCGUUACCCGCAGAAGAAGCACCGGCUAACUCCGUGCCAGCAGCCGCGGUAAUUC